AAAAAUAGUUUAGAACAAAUUAUAGCUGCUAACUAUGAUUUAAGUGGUUCGAUUCCAUUUUAUUUUUU
rnacentral:tRNA from 1 species